GGCCCCUUGGUCUAGAGGCCUAGGACACCGCCCUUUCACGGCGGUAACAGGGGUUCGAAUCCCCUAGGGGACGCCA
rnacentral:tRNA from 1 species